rnacentral:rRNA from 1 species
AUGCAAGUCGAGCGAGAAAGUGGCUUCGGCCAUCAGUAAAGCGGCGGACGGGUGAGUAACACGUAGGUAAUCUUCCCUUGAGCGGGGGACAACGAGCCGAAAGGCUCGCUAAUACCGCAUACGUUUCUAGAGACUCUGGUCUUUAGAAGGAAAGCUAGGCCGCAAGGUCCGGCACUCGAGGAGGAGCCUGCGUCGCAUCAGCUAGUUGGUGGGGUAACGGCCUACCAAGGCGAAGACGCGUAGCUGGUCUGAGAGGAUGAUCAGCCACACUGGGACUGAGACACGGCCCAGACUCCUACGGGAGGCAGCAGUGGGGAAUAUUGGACAAUGGGCGCAAGCCUGAUCCAGCCACGCCGCGUGAGUGAUGAAGGCCUUCGGGUCGUAAAGCUCUGUGGGGAGGGACGAACCGCCGUUGGUUCAUAGCCAGCGGCAUGACGGUACCUCCUUAGCAAGCACCGGCUAACUUCGUGCCAGCAGCCGCGGUA